GCCCAUCCCCCGGGGCGAGGGGAGAGGUGGUGGCUGCAGAACACGUGCUCUGUUCAUGCCAUAUGUCUGCUGACCAUGGCCUUUCGAAGCUCCCUCUCACGAA
rnacentral:pre_miRNA from 1 species